CACUGGGCCCUGGAUGCUGUAGCUAUUUAUGAAUGCUAAGGACCAGCUGGUGUAAAUUAACAUGUGCCGCUGGAGGAGUUGUGCUGAGUUGUGCUAGCUGAGGAUCUGGCCUAUGACUUUCUUCCUUCUGCUGCGGAUACCACAUAGGAUCUGUACCAGAUGCACACCGAUGUGGGGGUUUUUUUGCUUUCCUUUCUCUCUGUACGCCCAGAAUCAAAGCCCCCUGCCCAGAAGACGUCUCUGUGGGCUCAGCUAGCAAUAGUGGUGAUUCUCUGUGUGCUUUUCCUGGUGGCGCUAAUUUCCCUGAGUAUCCUGUAUUCCCAGCUCCUGGCUGGCAACAUGCAGCUUCUAGAGGAAUCCAAGCAAGCCAAGGGAAAAAUGGAGCAAGUGGAAGGGAGAUACUGCCAGUUACUGCAGUGGACGUUGCACAAAAACAUCUGCGUCUUGGAGUCCCCGUCCUCCAACACCUCAGAGCCCCGCAACAUCAGCUGUUUCUUGUGCCCCGGCCAAUGGAUUUCAAACAAAGGACGAUGCUACUACUUUUCUCCAAAUAAGUCAUCAUGGAAUAACAG
rnacentral:lncRNA from 1 species